AUCUACGGCCAUACCAACCUGAAGGCGCCCUAUCUCGUCUGAUCUCAAAAACUAAGCAGGGACGGGCCUGGUUAGUACUUGGAUGGGAGUCUGCCUGGGAAUACCGGGUGCUGUACGCU
ensembl:rRNA 5S_rRNA 5S ribosomal RNA